GGAGGGGUGGCAGAGUCUGGCUGAAUGCAGCUGCCUUGAAAGCAGCCGAUCCUCUUCGAGGAUCCGGGGGUUCGAAUCCCUCCCCCUCCG
rnacentral:tRNA from 1 species